AGCAGUCACCACGGGAAUACAGAGGGUGCGAGCGUUAAUCGGAUUUACUGGGCGUAAAGCGUGCGUAGGCGGCUUUUUAAGUCGGAUGUGAAAUCCCUGAGCUUAACUUAGGAAUUGCAUUCGAUACUGGGAAGCUAGAGUAUGGGAGAGGAUGGUAGAAUUCCAGGUGUAGCGGUGAAAUGCGUAGAGAUCUGGAGGAAUACCGAUGGCGAAGGCAGCCAUCUGGCCUAAUACUGACGCUGAGGUACGAAAGCAUGGGGAGCAAACAGGAUUAGAGACCCCUGUAGUCCCUGUCUCUUAUAC
rnacentral:rRNA from 1 species